rnacentral:rRNA from 1 species
GAUGAACGCUGGCUACAGGCUUAACACAUGCAGGUCGAGGGGAAACGACGGGGAAGCUUGCUUCCCCGGGCGUCGACCGGCGCACGGGUGAGUAACGCGUAUCCAACCUGCCUCUGACUGAGGGAUAACCCGUCGAAAGUCGGCCUAAUACCUCAUGGCAUCGUCUGCGGGCAUCCAACGACGAUUAAAGAUUUCAUCGGUCAGGGAUGGGGAUGCGUCUGAUUAGCUUGUUGGCGGGGUAACGGCCCACCAAGGCUACGAUCAGUAGGGGUUCUGAGAGGAAGGUCCCCCACAUUGGAACUGAGACACGGUCCAAACUCCUACGGGAGGCAGCAGUGAGGAAUAUUGGUCAAUGGGCGAGAGCCUGAACCAGCCAAGUAGCGUGCAGGAUGACGGCCCUAUGGGUUGUAAACUGCUUUUAUGCGGGGAUAAAGUGAGGGACGUGUCCUUCAUUGCAGGUACCGCAUGAAUAAGGACCGGCUAAUUCCGUGCCAGCAGCCGCGGUAAUACGGAAGGUCCGGGCGUUAUCCGGAUUUAUUGGGUUUAAAGGGAGCGUAGGCCGUGGAUUAAGCGUGUUGUGAAAUGCAGGUGCUCAACGUCUGCACUGCAGCGCGAACUGGUUCACUUGAGUGUGCGCAACGCAGGCGGAAUUCGUCGUGUAGCGGUGAAAUGCUUAGAUAUGACGAAGAACUCCGAUUGCGAAGGCAGCUUGCGGGAGCACAACUGACGCUGAAGCUCGAAAGUGCGGGUAUCGAACAGG